rnacentral:tRNA from 1 species
AGCAGCGUGGCGCAGCGGAAGCGUGCUGGGCCCAUAACCCAGAGGUCCCUGGAUCAAAACCAGGCGCUGCUA